rnacentral:rRNA from 1 species
UACGUAGGGUGCGAGCGUUGUCCGGAAUUAUUGGGCGUAAAGAGCUUGUAGGCGGUCUGUCGCGUCUGCUGUGAAAAUCCGGGGCUCAACCCCGGACUUGCAGUGGGUACGGGCAGACUAGAGUGUGGUAGGGGAGACUGGAAUUCCUGGUGUAGCGGUGAAAUGCGCAGAUAUCAGGAGGAACACCGAUGGCGAAGGCAGGUCUCUGGGCCACUACUGACGCUGAGGAGCGAAAGCAUGGGUAGCGAACAGG